rnacentral:rRNA from 1 species
UACGGAGGGUGCAAGCGUUAAUCGGAAUUACUGGGCGUAAAGCGCGCGUAGGUGGUCUGUUAAGUCGGAUGUGAAAGCCCCGGGCUCAACCUGGGAACUGCAUCCGAUACUGGCAGACUAGAGUGUGGUAGAGGGAGGUAGAAUUUCCUGUGUAGCGGUGAAAUGCGUAGAUAUAGGAAGGAAUACCGAUGGCGAAGGCAGCCUCCUGGCUCGACAUUGACGCUGAGGUGCGAAAGUGUGGGGAGCAAACAGG